CCUACGGGUGGCAGCAGUGAGGAAUAUUGGUCAAUGGACGCGAGUCUGAACCAGCCAAGCCGCGUGCGGGAAGACGGUCCUAUGGAUUGUAAACUUCUUUUGUCCGGGAGCAAAAGACGCCACGCGUGGCGUUCCGAGAGUACCCGAAGAAAAAGCAUCGGCUAACUCCGUGCCAGCAGCCGCGGUAAUACGGAGGAUGCGAGCGUUAUCCGGAUUUAUUGGGUUUAAGGGGUGCGUAGGCGGAAUGCCAAGUUAGCGUUAAAAUCCCGGGGCUCAACCUCGCACCGCCGUUGAUACUGGCGUGCUUGAGUGUACGAGAGGUAUGCGGAAUGCAUGGUGUAGCGGUGAAAUGCAUAGAGAUCACGAAGAACACCGAUUGCGAAGGCAGCAUACC
rnacentral:rRNA from 1 species